CCUACGGGGUGCUGCAGUGGGGAAUAUUGGACAAUGGGCGAAAGCCUGAUCCAGCCAUGCCGCGUGUGUGAAGAAGGCCUUCGGGUUGUAAAGCACUUUCAGUGGGGAAGAAAGCCUUGGGGCUAAUACCCUCGAGGAAGGACAUCACCCACAGAAGAAGCACCGGCUAACUCCGUGCCAGCAGCCGCGGUAAUACGGAGGGUGCGAGCGUUAAUCGGAAUUACUGGGCGUAAAGCGCGCGUAGGCGGUCUGAUAAGCCGGUUGUGAAAGCCCCGGGCUCAACCUGGGAACGGCAUCCGGAACUGUCAGGCUAGAGUGCAGGAGAGGAAGGUAGAAUUCCCGGUGUAGCGGUGAAAUGCGUAGAGAUCGGGAGGAAUACCAGUGGCGAAGGUGGCCUUCUGGACUGACACUGACGCUGAGGUGCGAAAGCGUGGGUAGCAAACAGGAUUAGAUACCCGAGUAGUC
rnacentral:rRNA from 1 species